rnacentral:rRNA from 1 species
UACGGAGGGAGCUAGCGUUGUUCGGAAUUACUGGGCGUAAAGCGCGCGUAGGCGGCUUUGUAAGUUAGAGGUGAAAGCCCGGAGCUCAACUCCGGAACUGCCUUUAAAACUGCAUCGCUUGAAUCCAGGAGAGGUGAGUGGAAUUCCGAGUGUAGAGGUGAAAUUCGUAGAUAUUCGGAAGAACACCAGUGGCGAAGGGCGGCUCACUGGACUGGUAUUGACGCGUGAGG